AUGAUGAAACAAAUAACAAGGCAUGUUGACUAGCAAGCCAAUCUGCCAGUCAAUUGAAAGUUAGAUUGGAUUAGUAGCUCUGGAGGGUUGGUCAUGGAAUUAGCUCUUCAUUGCCUUGAUUGAUGUCUCCUUUUCUUUUUUGUAGUCUCAUACUUCUGGUAGUAACAUAAUUGAAAAUUGAAUCAACCAGAAGGAUGAAGCAAACAAAUCUUGAAGCAGAAAAUAGCAGCACAAAAACAAAACCAUCGAUUCCCCCACCUCCGCCACUGCCACUUCCAAGAUUCUGGGUUCGAAAAACUGCUACUGUAAGUGUGACUAAACAAGAGAUUGCUAAGUUUUGGAGGCAGAAGCACCUUGAGGAAGAGGAUCACCUCCUUGCUGCUAUCAAGGCAGCAGCACGUGUCAGAGCUCGCAAUCUCACGGAAGAGGACUACAAGCAAUUUGAAGAGUCCUUGAAGGAUGAAAAUGGCACCAAGGAUGCUAAGGAGGGUAACACUAAUGGCAUCCUCAUAACUACGAAAGAUGAAAACAAGAAGGAAGUGCGUGUUGGUAUAAAGGAUUGGUUAGUUGACUUUCUCUACCUAUCUUUUUUUUGUACAUAGUUUCAUUUAUGAUGAUUCAUGAAAUUAAAUGAAAGGGAAUUGGAUUUUUAUUUGUCUCUAAAAAAUCUUGACCACAAAUAAUGACAGUUAAUUCCAUUAUGUUAUAUACAAAACAGAUGAGAAAUCAAAUAAUUAAUAAUUUGAACAACGUGUGCAGGUGGACCAAGAGCAAGUAUGCAUACUUGAAUCAACCAGCCAUUGAAUUAAUGGUUCCUGCAAAAAGAAGUUCCAACUACGUUCCAAAUGGUUUCUCAUUUAAGUCCACUCCCCUCUGUAACAUCUCUCUUGGGGUCUUUUAGCUCCGUUGCAUUGCUUCUAUUCAUUAUCCAACAAAGUUAAUUGGUUUCUAUGCAUGAUUUGUGCCGUUUUCUUUUGCAGAGGUAUUGCUUCUAAAUAAGUGUUCUUCCACACCCUAUUUUUAAAGGACAUAAUGAAAAAGAAAAAAUGUUUCCUUGUAACAUUUGAAACUAGCCUACAUACAAUAGAUAGAUGUUUCCUUUUACAGACUGGAUGUGAAUUGCUUUUGAUUAAACAAAGAAAACACUAAAG
rnacentral:misc_RNA from 1 species